ensembl:lncRNA
GAUAUGGAUGUUCCUUUUUCUCCAGGCAUAAGGAAAGUGCCUCUGAAAUAAAGAUUUUAUGACUUGCUUCAGGAGAGAAGAGCAGCAGGAAGGUGAAAGUGACCUUUCUGCAUCUGUUGUUCCUCAAAUGCCCCCGUACCAUAUUUUGGUGUAACAUGUCCUGAACCCCAUCACACUGUCUCCAGUUCUGGGAUAUUACAAAUAAGGUUGUUAAAGGUUAUGUCGAAAGGACUCAGGUGUCAUUGAAGAGGCUGCCACUGGGCAGUUAUGAUACAACUCAAACUCCAAAAGUGGUAACAUAUGCCAGCAGCAAAGAAGUGAACCUGAGACAAGAAAAAAGCAAAAACCGGUAAAGGAGGUGUGGCCACUGAGCUUCCUCUGUGGACAGCUGGAACUUAACCCUACUGCAAACGCUGCCAACCAAUAUGAACAGUCAUCAGAAUUAGACCACCAAAGGGCAAAGGAGCUAAGAAAUCUACCCACCAACCUCGUGAUAUAGUUACUGAGGGCUGCUCUCAGAAGGGAACAUUUAUCCCAGAGCUCUUUAGACUUUCUUAUUUGUGCAGCAGGCACCCAUGGCCAGAGAGAAUCCUUACACAGAGUUAGUUGUAAGCACUGUGAAUUGGAAUCUGGACAAAAAUGCUUGGAAAUGUGUGAUGUGGGGAUCUUGGUGGGGCAGAGACAGUAGCUGUUACAUUACCCUCCUUUCUUAUUUGGAAAUUGAGACAUGCCAUUGUAUACAGUGAGGAUCAUUUAUUCAUUAAACUAGUGUCUACUAAUUAUGGGCUAUGUGCCCCUCCUCUGAGUUAAGGUCUGGAAAUAAAGUGGAGAUGAAGGGCAAAGAAAUAUUUUUUCUCCAUUUAACUUAUAGUCUAGUAGGCAAGAAAAACAAAAAUUGCAAAAGGAAGUAUUACUUUGCAAAUUUGAUAAGUGCUAGGAAUAAGUAGGUAUUUUUAUGAAAGCAUGUUUGUUCUUUUUUUUUGACAGGCUCUCACUCCUGUCCUGCAGGCUGGUGUGCAGUGGUUCGAUCCCAGCUCACUGCAGCCUUUACUUCCUGGGCUCAGGUGAUCCUUGCUCCUCAGCCUCCUGACCCAGGUGAUUCUCCUUUCUCAGCCUUCCAAGUAGCUGGGAUUACAGGUAUGUACCACCACACCCAGCUAAUUCUUAUAGUCAGGAUGGGGUUUCAGCAUCUUGACCAGGCUGGUUUCAAACUCCUGAACUCAGGUCAUCCGUCUGCCUUGGCCUCCCAAAGUGCUGGGAUUACAGGAGUGACCCACUGUAUUGUAUGUGUUGUUAUAUAGUAACACAACAUCACAUGUUUUAAUCUUACCAUAGAACCUUAACGAAACACUGAAGCUGUUUUUAUUUCCAAUUCUAACUUGAAUUAAGUAAAACACAUAAAUUUAAUUGAAUUGGUAGAGUCAAAAAAAGUAACCAGUGACAUAAUUCAGAUUUGAACUUCAUUCAUGAUGAGUCUACAUUCGGUGUUGUUUCAAUGUGACUGAACUAUCAGCACUUCAGUAAGACUAUAUUAAGGAGUCCAUUCAUUUUAACCAUGGCCAAUGAUUUACUUAUAAUUUUAUAUAAAUAAUAUUACAGAGUUGGUGAGUUACUGAGUAAUUCCAACAAUUAUGCAGUUCUAAGUCUCCAGAACAAUCUGACUGUACAUACUUUGUGAGAAAUUUCACAUUUUAUCUGCUGCACUUAAAGUACAACUGGUUCAUUUGUAUAUGAAUGCAGGAAAAAGUACCUUUAUUUAGAUUUUUUAAAUAAUAGACACACUUAAGGUGCCCUCUAUUUUAGCUUUUUAAAGUUUUGAUGGAAACCUUCUCUUAUUGCAAUCCAAGUAUUAAAAAUUUGUUCUGAAUUAUGAGAAUGAAUAUAGAAAUUCACCUAUUGCUUACUGAACCAUGGCAAGAAAAAGUAUAUUAGUCUUUCAUCUUCUUGGUAGAUAUUGUUAUGAGGUUAUUACAAAAUUAUAUUAAUUUAUGACAUAAUAAAAUCAAAGUUUAGAGAGUUUAGUUGACUUAUACGUGUGUGUGUGUGUGUGUGUGUGUGUGUGUGUGUGUGAAUGGGCCUUAUGAAAAUUUCUAUGUCACAAAUCUAGAGUCCUUUAAAUUCUACCUUAUAAAUAAUUACAUGAUGACAAUUGUAUAUCGUCUAAGUUAUAUGAUAUCAGGCAUCAAAGAGAAGUGGUUCUCCUGGAAAAAUAAUAAUUAAAAAAUUGUCAAACAAGUAUCUUGACUUCUGGAUGCAAGCACUGUAACUGAAUUUUACAGUCUGAGUUGAUACGACAUUUGUCUUUAUUGAGUUGUGAUUUUCACUUCAGUACAAUAAAAAUGUAUUACCUUUUCUAUAACUUUUGCCCAGGGUAAUCUUGCUUUCAACAUGUUUCUUAGUUGCCUAGUGAAAUAGUCACAUUAUUCUCUACUUCGUAAUUAACACUUAUUGUAGCUUUUUGGUCCUUUUUCUUUAAAAAAAAUGG